UACGUAGGGUGCGAGCGUUGUCCGGAUUUAUUGGGCGUAAAGAGCUCGUAGGCGGUUUGUCGCGUCGGCCGUGAAAUCUCCACGCUUAACGUGGAGCGUGCGGUCGAUACGGGCAGACUAGAGGUAGGUAGGGGAGAAUGGAAUUCCCGGUGUAGCGGUGAAAUGCGCAGAUAUCGGGAGGAACACCGGUGGCGAAGGCGGCUUCUUGGGCCCUACCUGACGCUGAGGCGCGAAAGCCAGGGGAGCGAACGGG
rnacentral:rRNA from 1 species